rnacentral:rRNA from 1 species
ACACGUAAGGGGCGAGCGUUGUUCGGAAUUAUUGGGCGUAAAGGGUACGUAGGCGGUUGAGUAAGCCCGGCGUGAAAUCCUGCAGCUUAACUGUAGAGCUGCGCUGGGAACUGCUGAACUUGAGUCAUGGAAGGGAAGUUAGAAUUCCAGGUGUAGGGGUGAAAUCUGUAGAUAUCUGGAAGAAUACCGGUGGCGAAGGCGAACUUCUGGCCAAUGACUGACGCUGAGGUACGAAAGUGCGGGGAGCAAACAGGAUUAGAUACCCUGGUAGUCCGCACCAUAAACGAUGUGCACUAGGUGUUGGUCCGAGCGGAUCAGUGCCGAAGCUAACGUGAUAAGUGCACCGCCUGGGGAGUAUGCCCGCAAGGGUGAA